UACCAGCAUACGAUUCAUGCCUCAUUGGCCC
rnacentral:sRNA from 1 species